CUCCUGCAAGGUACUCUGGGAAUGAAUGUACGGUGCAGGCAUAACUGACAACUGUGGUCGAGGGAUACAGACGUUAUGAAAGCACGUGUAUCACCAGAAGGGUGCGUCUGACGCCGUAAUCUUCCUGCAUCAGACAACAGGAACAUCACAUAACCACUCCAGGCUGUUGGGCCGCCACGUGUCUUCCAUCAAACAUACUCUCAGAUAAUCUGCAUUCCUCUUUACAAUGGCCACGGAUUUUACUAUCCCCAACUGAAAACUGUUGACGUAGGUGCGAGCAGAAGAAGGGGGAGUUACCUUGCACCUCGUUCCGUGGCCAAUGUGUAAGGCCAUUCGUACUUAAUAUAAAAGUGAGCAUUAGACCCUAGUAAAAUGAAUCUUAAAAAAAAAAGAAAAAAAGUAGAUGAAACAUGA